UACGUAGGGACCGAGCGUUGUCCGGAUUCAUUGGGCGUAAAGAGCUCGUAGGCGGCUAUUCAAGUCGAACGUGAAAUCUCGGAGCUCAACUCCGAAACUGCGUUCGAUACUGGGUAGCUAGAGUCUGGUAGGGGGAUCUGGAAUUCCUGGUGUAGCGGUGGAAUGCGCAGAUAUCAGGAGGAACACCGGUGGCGAAGGCGGGAUCCUGGGCCAGUACUGACGCUGAGGAGCGAAAGCAUGGGGAGCGAACAGG
rnacentral:rRNA from 1 species